GUGGAGCUCCUUUCAUCUUUCUUGAAAGCCACCUAAUUGACAAAACAUCGUAGCACAUCGAGCAUAUAUAUUCCCUUUUUUUUAACUCUUGCUAUGUCUUUGUUGGAGCAGAAGGUUGUGCGACUUCUGUUGUUGAACUAUAAUUCAGAAUGCGGAAAAUAUAUAUGGUUGCAUAUAAGGUACAUAAGGCUGCAUAUAGUGAAUGUAACACUUGUGACUAAUAUAUUCGUAAAAAGACCGAGAAGGUGUUUGGUUGGGGGGAA
rnacentral:lncRNA from 1 species